rnacentral:rRNA from 1 species
CCCUGCCAUUUGUACACACCGCCCGUCGCACCUACCGAUUGAAUGGUCCGGUGAAACCUCCGGAUCGGCGCAGUCUCCCCUUUCGGGGAACUCGCCGAAAAGUUGGUUGAACCUUACCAUUUAGAGGAAGGUGAAGUCGUAACAAGGUUUCCG